rnacentral:piRNA from 1 species
UGAUGCUCAAAUUGAGGAUAUACCAAAUGU